UACGGGGGGGGCAAGCGUUGUUCGGAAUUACUGGGCGUAAAGGGCUUGUAGGUGGCCAACUAAGUCAGACGUGAAAUCCCUCGGCUUAACCGGGGAACUGCGUCUGAUACUGGAUGGCUUGAGUGUGGGAGAGGGAUGCGGAAUUCCAGGUGUAGCGGUGAAAUGCGUAGAUAUCUGGAGGAAUACCGGUGGCGAAGGCGGCAUCCUGGACCGAUACUGACGCUGAGGAGCGAAAGCCAGGGGAGCAAACGGG
rnacentral:rRNA from 1 species